GUGGGAGUGAUUGACUGUUGAUUGCUGAUCUAAGGAGGCUGAUCCAAGCCAGCAGGGUUUUGCCCACUUGAAGUUGUGUAAUUUGGUUUGGUAUGUCUAUAUUGUUUUUCUUUUCUGUGUUAUUAUGUUUUCACCACCAGAACAUCAGUUACCUGCAUGAGCUGCUCCACUACACUGAGCCAGAACACCCUGGACCUUGCUCUGAUGUUUUCUGACAGAGCAGGGCCACUGUUUCCAGUGUCUUGUUGGCUUGGAUUCAGAUGAAACAGGACUCAGAACUCAAGCAAUUUGCUUUGCUGGAUUGUUGUGUCAUUUGCCAUAAAUCUUCAUUGGCUUUCAAUGCGUUUUCUGUCUUCAAGUUGUCCAUUGCCCUCAAAUUAUUUUAUGACAUUUCUU
ensembl:lncRNA